UACGUAGGGUGCAAGCGUUGUCCGGAAUUAUUGGGCGUAAAGAGCUCGUAGGCGGUCUGUCGCGUCGGCUGUGAAAUCCCGGGGCUCAACCCCGGGCCUGCAGUCGAUACGGGCAGACUAGAGUGCGGUAGGGGAGACUGGAAUUCCUGGUGUAGCGGUGAAAUGCGCAGAUAUCGGGAGGAACACCAGUGGCGAAGGCGGCGACCUGGGCCAAUAUUGACGCUGAGGUGCGAAAGCGUGGGGAGCAAACAGG
rnacentral:rRNA from 1 species